GACGUAGGGCGCGAGCGUUGUCCGGAUUUAUUGGGCGUAAAGAGCUCGUAGGCGGCUCGUUGCGUCGGCUGUGAAAACCCGCAGCUCAACUGUGGGCUUGCAGCUGAUACGGGCGGGCUGGGAUUCGGUAGGGGAGACUGGAAUUCCUGGUGUAGCGGUGAAAUGCGCAGAUAUCAGGAGGAACACCGGUGGCGAAGGCGGGACUCUGGACCGAUAUCGACGCUGAGGAGCGAAAGCGUGGGGAGCGAACAGG
rnacentral:rRNA from 1 species